CCAGCACUCAGACACUGCCUUGGCUGGGAGAAGGAGGCUCUGGUAGUGGGCGCCUUGGCAAGACUCGGUUAACUUCUGAAGAGGAAGAAAAGGACAAAGAGCCCACGCUAGCCCUUCGCCGAGCCUGGCGCAGCAUGGGGAGGAAUUUUUCUCCCUGUGAGCAGCACACCUCUGCUGCCGUUGCGUGGCAGAUGUUCCUGGUGGCACCGGAGCAGGAUUCAAAAGCAGUGGGUCGUGCUGGUGCAUCCCAGCUCUGGCUUCGAGCGCCCUGCCUUGGCCCUGGCUGCGUCCUGGGGCACACAGGGAGCUGCCUCACGGGCUGAAGGCGAAAGGCAGACCUCCCUGGGCUUCUGGAGGGUUGAUGUCAAAUUCUCUGCUACAGCUCCUUGCCCAGAGAUGUGCUAGACUCUUGCUGAUUUCUCCUGCCAUAUGGGACGUGCCUGGUACUGCUUCCUCCUGGCUGCUGGGU